GAUGAACGCUGGCGGCGUGCCUAAUACAUGCAAGUCGAGCGAACAGAUAAGGAGCUUGCUCCUUUGACGUUAGCGGCGGACGGGUGAGUAACACGUGGGUAACCUACCUAUAAGACUGGGAUAACUUCGGGAAACCGGAGCUAAUACCGGAUAACAUUUGGAACCGCAUGGUUCUAAAGUGAAAGAUGGUUUUGCUAUCACUUAUAGAUGGUCCCGCGCCGUAUUAGCUAGUUGGUAAGGUAACGGCUUACCAAGGCGACGAUACGUAGCCGACCUGAGAGGGUGAUCGGCCACACUGGAACUGAGACACGGUCCAGACUCCUACGGGAGGCAGCAGUAGGGAAUCUUCCGCAAUGGGCGAAAGCCUGACGGAGCAACGCCGCGUGAGUGAUGAAGGGUUUCGGCUCGUAAAACUCUGUUAUUAGGGAAGAACAAACGUGUAAGUAACUGUGCACGUCUUGACGGUACCUAAUCAGAAAGCCACGGCUAACUACGUG
rnacentral:rRNA from 1 species